rnacentral:snoRNA from 1 species
CCCCUCUCAGGGUUGCACCUGGAGAGUUUCCAGUACUCUACCAGUCUCGGCUAUGGGAGGGAGAGCCAAGCAGAAGCAUACCCAUUCCAUUCUUAGCUUGGCCAGUGGCUAGCGAGUGGAAGGCCAUCUGCUGCAAGU